rnacentral:tRNA from 1 species
GGGGGUGUAGCUUAGUCCGGUUUAAAGCAGUCGCCUGUCGAGCGAAAGAACGUGGGUACUGCUCCGCAGAAGCAAGCUACAAAUCCCAUCAUCCCACG